AACUUUUGGAUUUCUCUCUCCGGUAGCCCUUGUUUUACAUCCUAUACCUCCACCGUCCUGCAAAAAAAAAACCUUAAUCAGAAAAAGGCAAAAGGUACAACAACAUCAAAGAAAAAAACAACCGCCACAUAACAAAUCGUCAUCUUUUUCCUUUCCACGCCGGCUGCGUCUCCUCGACAUCGUCGCCGUCGUCACUCAUCGCUCGUCAAACAAUCUCCCUGGGAAUUUUAAUCUUCAGAUGUCGCCGUCGUCGCCCCUCUCUCCUUCGCCGUCUCUCAAACUUCUCUAUCGGAUCUCAGUAAAAGUUACGGGCAGUGAAUAAAUUUUGAUACACGUCCGGUAAAUUAAAAAAGAAAAAUAGGUUUAGUCUUCAUCGG
rnacentral:lncRNA from 1 species